rnacentral:rRNA from 1 species
UAACGUGUGGGCAACCUGCCCUAUACUGGGGAAUAAUCACUGGAAACGGUGACUAAUACCGCAUGUCAUUACGGAAGGGCAUCCUUCUGUAAGAAAGGGAGUAAUUCGGUAUAGGAUGGGCCCGCAUCUGAUUAGCUAGUUGGUGAGAUAACAGCCCACCAAGGCGACGAUCAGUAGCCGACCUGAGAGGGUGAUCGGCCACAUUGGGACUGAGACACGGCCCAA